UACGUAGGUCCCGAGCGUUGUCCGGAUUUAUUGGGCGUAAAGCGAGCGCAGGUGGUUUAUUAAGUCUGGUGUAAAAGGCAGUGGCUCAACCAUUGUAUGCAUUGGAAACUGGUAGACUUGAGUGCAGGAGAGGAGAGUGGAAUUCCAUGUGUAGCGGUGAAAUGCGUAGAUAUAUGGAGGAACACCAGUGGCGAAAGCGGCUCUCUGGCCUGUAACUGACACUGAGGCUCGAAAGCAUGGGGAGCAAACAGG
rnacentral:rRNA from 1 species